AACGUAGGACGCAAGCGUUAUCCGGAGUUACUGGGCGUAAAGCGCGAGCAGGCGGCUUCUUAAGUCUGAUGUGAAAGCGCCCGGCUCAACCGGGCGAGGCCAUUGGAAACUAGGGAGCUGGAGGGCAGUAGAGGCAGGCGGGAAUUCCGGGUGGAGUGGUGAAAUGCGUAGAGAUCCGGAGGAACACCAGAGGCGAAGGCGGCCGUGCUGGGCUGCACCUGACGCUGAGCCGCGAAAGCCAGGGGAGCAAACGGGG
rnacentral:rRNA from 1 species